CCCACUGCUCGCGGUAGCUGGGUGUUGGCUGCGGUUUGCCUCUUCACUCUUCAUAUCCCAGCUAAAGUACCUCGGCUAAGAAGGGCAAAAUAGAUGUCCGCACCCCAGGGCCUGCCCACGUAGGUCCAGGGUUUUCAGCGUCAGCCUGGUUACGCGAAACGCGACGGAUCCAACGAUUUGUGUUCAAUUUAACCGAUCCCCGUUAAGUUGAGGAAACUCGGCCAACAGACCUAUUUUAUUGGUUUCGCUUGGCCCUCCACCCCCACAGUACUGAUCUUACAGAUGGGAAUCCUGUAAUCUACCCAUGACUGCGGCCGCUGUACUUUGCAGGCUCCCAUUAGGCCUGUAUAUGGUCGUCAAAUGAAAUUACUCCCCCUGGGCUUCCAGUGAACUCCAAGAACAUGACUACAGGGACAACCUAUACAUAGUGUUGCAUUCUUGACUUUGGGGCAGAUCGCUGAACUUCAAAAAACAUUAUCAACUGCUUGAUGUUUCCUCCUGGAUACCGCAAAUGUCUGAAUCCAAACCCCUUCCCCAGAUACACUUUUAAUGUCAUCAGCAGCACUACCCAUUUAAUCCAACAUCCAUCAUGAAAUUUUUUAGUUCAUUCAGCAAAAUGUGAAUAUGCCCACGCACUAUUCUGCUCACAAGGGAUAGUGUCCAAAAUGUUCCUGCCCCUCGUGGUUAAUUCUAGGUUAAGUUUUAAAUGCUAUUAAGCAGAAGUAUCCAGUGAGUAAAGUGACUAAGGAUACUAUUUUAGAAACGAACACUGAAGGCCUCUGACGGGGUGACACUGGAUGGAACAAGGACCUGAAAUUUAGAAAGAAUGAGCCCUGAGAAUAUGAGUGAAAAACUUCCCCGUGCCAAAGAUGUACAUACAAAAGCUCCAAGAUGGGGGAGUCCUGGCAAAGCAGUCAGUGUGGCCAAAGCAGUGGGCAAGUGAAGGACCAGAUUUAGAAUUUAAUUCUAGUCAUGAUGAGAAACCACUGGAGUUUGUGGGGGACAGGGAAAUGAGAAAAUCUGCUUUGCCCUCUUAAAAGGCUUCCUGUUAUGCAAAAACUAAAUCACAGGAAGGCAAAAGUAGAAAAAGGAGAACAAUUAUAAGCUAUUGUAGUCACCUGUGCUAGGAUGGUAGUUGUGGUAGUAGUUAGAAGUAUAAGAUAACUCUGGAUAUUCAAGUUAGAACCACGUGGACUCACUUAAGGAUUAGAUGCAGGUUAUAAAAGUACAUUGAAGAUGGCACCCAAAACAUUUGCUCUGAGCAACUGGAUGAAUGAACAACUGGUGUUGGGUAAUCAAGGAGUUGACUUGGAAUAUUGAGAAAUUCAUAUCAAGAUGUUGAAUAUGAGUUUUGAGAGGUUUGGGGCCUAGAAAUAUUCAGGACUAAAAUGCUGAUCAUAUUCAAAAUCAUGGGAUUGGAUCAGAUCACCCAGGGAAGAACACAGCUAGAGAUGAAGUCUGACAUCCAAGACCUGGAGAAAUCAGCAAAGGAUACUGAGUAGUGACCAGUGAGAUAGGGAAUCCAUAGAAUCCAUUCACUACCACCACCCCAUCCGCACCUUAAGUUGGAAUCCAUUUCUCACAUGGGCCACUCCAACAAGCCUCCUUACCAUCUCUUGGUCCAUAUAUGUUGUUCAUUGCAUUGAAUGUUCUUUAAAUGGUAACUUUAUUAAGUGAGCCACCAACCCCACCCCAAACAAUACAGCCUUUUUUUUUUUUUUUUUUUUUUUUUUUUUUUUUUUUUUUUUGUGAGACGAAGUCUCGCUCUGUCGCCCAGGCUGGAAUGCAGUGGCGCGAUCUCUGCUCACUGCAACCUUCACUUCCCGGGUUCAAGCGAUUCUUCUGCCUCAGCCUCUCAAAUAGCUGAGACUACAGGCGCAUGCCACAACGCCUGGCUACUUUUUUAUUUUUAAUAGAGACGGGAUUUCACCAUAUUGGCCAGGCUGGUCUCAAACUCCUGACCUCGUGAUCCACCCGCCUCGGCCUCCCAAAGUGCUGGGAUUACAGGCACAAGCCACCACACCCGGCCCAACACACAGCUUUAAAACCUUCAAUAGUUUGCAACUGUUCUUAAGAGACAAAACAUGGGAUGCAACUAUUAUGCCGUCCAUAGUAGCCUUUACCUGUUUCUCUAACCUGUAACUCUGCUAGUCCUUUCUCUUUCCACUUGAUCCUGAUAACUUUCUCAGUCACUGGUGAUCAGAUGUUUAGGUAUGUUCUUCUCUCCCUUUCUUUGACUAGUCUGCUACUCCUCAUCCUUCAAAUCUAGCUCAAUUACCCCUUUCAGUUAAGUCUCCCCUGAUCAUUUUAACUAGGGUAUACACUCAGUCAUGGCUUUAAUAUCUGCCAUCAACCACAUUGCUCCAUCAUGGCAUCUGCUACACUUUGGUGUCAUCAGUCUUUGAUUAGACAGUUCAAUGAAAGCAGAAACCACAGUAAUUUUUGUCACCACUAAAUGCCUAGUGCUUGGCAUGAUGCUGGGCAAAGGAUACCCUAAUUUGCUGAAUAAAGCCUUAGUUUAGUUGCUUAAUACAGUGUGUCUCCCUAUUAAACACAGUACUUAAAAUUGGUAUUUCCAAAUAAGCAUUAAUACACAAAUGCCUUUGCUAGAUGAUCAGGAACAAACUGCUGAUCUUCCACUGCCUCUACUCAAAACAGCCGUACUGCUUAUGUAACUGGAUUAAGCUUCAGAACAGCUUGUUAAAAGUAGGAUAUUAGUAGCAGAAGCUGAGAAGUGUAUUAGAUGAGGCUAUCAGAUUGCUUUUAUAAACCUUUUCCUCUCUUCACACCAGUAGCACUUCUUCACCUACAGCUUUUGCUGGAUGGUUUUUAACAACUUAAGCAGACUGCGUUCAAGGACAGUGAGAAAACCAGACUUUCAUAUUAUUUAAUCUAGUGUAAUUUUAAACAUUCACUAGUCUUUUGCAGUAUUUUUGUAGGAUUCAAAAUGGAAAAAGGUAUGAAGAUGAGCCUUAACAAUUUACUUUCGUUUUCCUGAGGGGUCUUCCUCCCCGUUAACUCCAUAAAAAGGACAAGAUCAAGGGCAAUACUGAUUCUGUGAAAUCUAACUUAUAAUCAACUAAAAUUUAGAAUGCUUAAAAACAACCCAAGUGGAAUGCAGAUUCAGGAGCUUAAACAUAAAAUGAAGGGUUUGAAUUCGGCACUUAUCUGCAUUCCACUUCCUCUAGUUAUAUGACGGAAAAUAUAAUGAACAAAUGUCCUAAAACACUUAGGAAGCUGACUGCUCAACUAGUUGUUAACUCAUCACCUCAGUUAAUGAACCUUCUGAGAAUAAGCACACAUUCUAUGUCUCCUUUAAGUGGAAAAGUCUCCCACGUAAGAGCUGCAUAUAAAAGGAGACAAAAGAACUGUAGAAGCUAACUGAUUAGAAAUACUUAAAGGAUAUUUGUUUUAAUAUCAAGGUACAAUGAUUGAAAAAAAACUUUUCCAUAUUUUUUAGGAAUUAUUAGGAUCUGGAAAUAAAACUGCCCUAAUCAAGGUAAUCAAUAACAUUCUACCUUUUUAAGUUUUAAAAAAGAAGUUUCAUAUCCACAUGAGAUGAUUUAUAUUAUGCAUAUACAAAAGUAUUUUGUAUGUGAGCUUGCUACACCAAGAGGCUACAGUGACAUGUGUGACAAUCAUUUCCUUGAAACUCUGCUAAAAUAUGCAUUUGACCAAACAAAAGGCCUUCUGCAGCUAGGACAAGCAAUCACAUAUUAUACAGAAUGCUUAGAACCAAGAUUCAGAUCUUAAUGAGACUUAUUGAAAAGUUCUCUGCCCCAUAAUGAGGCACCCCUUUAAAAAUAUGGUCUGAGUAGAGACAUAAAAGAUAUACAUUUAAACUGUGAUGGUAAAAUAACCAAAAAAAGAAAAAUUAUAGUUCAAAAAAAGGAACAAUUCUUUGAAAAAACAUACAUAGAAACAGUCAAACUAUGAACACCUUUACACAUUCACAACAUCUGCACUAAUGCAUAGAAGUUCAAAACCUAGAAGGCAUUUUCUCCCCCAUCCCUUCUCUGAAACUGAUUCAGAGGUCACUGUGUGAAGAACUUACUUCAGUCCUGAUUGUAAAUGUCAUGAAAUUAUUUUCUACACAGAUAGCAAAUUUAGUUUUAUAUAGGACUGCAAGCAUACAUCAUCUAGGGAUUACCCAGUAAACCACAAAUAUUUUAUCCAUUCCCCUAAGAUACAGGUAACAUAUGGUUGUGGUACAUCCCAGGCAGAUGUCAUUUAAAGCACGCAAGGGGAGGUGCUAGCAAAAAAAUACUCAUUUGCCAAAGUAACAGGUUAACCCUUCCAAUAUGAUGUACCACAACCACACAUGAGAAAAGUCAAGAACUUAUUUUAUUUUAUUUUAAAAUAAACAUUGAAGAUCCCCCAUUUCCCACCACCCUACAAAACUUUUGAAUGUGGAAUGUUCAACAGCCUAUCCAUUUUGGUAGGUUACAAAACCAGCAAAAACUCCAGUUGUCUAAUGAUGAAUGUUUGAGAAUAGUUUUGUUUUUAAAUAGCUGAGCACCUACUGGAAGAAUUCCUGGGCUAAAUCAGCAUUAACUUCCUAGGCACACAGAACUAGUGCUCAAACUGCUA
rnacentral:lncRNA from 10 species